ACACGAAGAAGAAUCUCUUAUCCUCUCUUAUAUCCCCUUUUUUUCUGAGCCCUAUUCAUGACUUCAAUUCGAUCCAAUUCAAUUCCGUUCCUUCUUUUCACUCUCAAAUCUCAAUUCGUCUUUUCACUUUCCACCUUGAUCUGACCAGACAUGUACUAAUAAUACACAUAUAAUUAAUUUCCCCUUCUGAAUUCAAAAACCUAUUUAACCUGAUUCUUCAUUCUUCUUGCGUUGAUCGGUGACUGGAUCAUUGUCUGAUCCUAAAGCUUCACACUUCAGACUUCGAGUUCGAGGUUGUGAGAAUAUAUAUAUUAUAAAGGCAGAAUUGGUUCUUUGAAUCUGAAGGGACCGGUUGUGAUCCCCACUAUUUGUGCCAAAGUAGCAGGGCUCUGCAGUGUUCCUUUAAUUGGACCAAUGAAGGCUAAGUGUAUUCGAACUGAAUUUUGGGGACUCAGGUGUAGCAGAGAUAAGGCCACUGUUCUUUCUUU